rnacentral:lncRNA from 1 species
GUCUUCAGGCAAAAUAACACUGUGAUCAUCAAGGCAGUAGUUUAUCAAAACCUUCAGAGUUGAUGAAAGGAACGUUAGUAUGUAAUACAAAAUAUGCCUGGCAUGCAUUGACAUUGAACUGUCAAAUUAAUAUACAUUUAAGCUGGUGAUCAUUAAUCAAGUUUAAACAAUCAUCAAAAUGUUGGGGAAAAAGGAGAUACAUAAUCCUUAUGUUUUCACAAAUACAUCAAAGAGCUAUGACAAGUGAUCUUGGUGGUUUUGAGAUGCAGAUUCAAAAGAUCUAAAUCCAUUACACAUACCACCUCUAUGAUUUUCUUGUUAUAUCAGACACAGCACCAUCAAAUAUGGAUUGAAAUCGACUCCACAGUAACAAUUUACCCCCAGGAUGAAAACGGGUGAUGAAGAAAGGACAAAUCACUCCCACUGUCUAAUUCUCAAAACAACUGUCUCAGCUGGUGAACUAUUU